rnacentral:rRNA from 1 species
GUCUCGUAAGUGGGAUGUGAAAUCUCCUGGCUCAACUGGGGGGGGCCAUUCCAUACUGCGAGGCUUGAGGACAGAAGAGGGAAGCGGAAUUCCCGGUGUAGUGGUGAAAUGCGUAGAUAUCGGGAGGAACACCAGUGGCGAAGGCGGCUUCCUGGCCUGCUCCUGACGCUAAGAGGCGAAAGCUAGGGGAGCGAACGGGAUUAGAAACCCCGGUAGUCCUAGCCGUAAACGAUGGAUACUGGGUGUCGGUGGUCCUAACCCCAUCGGUGCCGAAGCCAACGCGUUAAGUAUCCCGCCUGGGGACUACGGCCGCAAGGUUAAAACUCAAAGGAAUUGACGGGGACCCGCACAAGCAGCGGAGCGUGUGGUUUAAUUCGAUGCAACACGAAGAACCUUACCAAGGCUUGACAUGUUGGAAGUAGGAACCUGAAAGGGGGACGACCUGUAAAGUCAGGAGCCAUCACAGGUGCUGCAUGGCUGUCGUCAGCUCGUGCCGUGAGGCGUUGGGUUAAGUCCCGUAACGAGCGCAACCCUUAUUGCCAGUUACCUUCUCUGGCGAGACUGCCCCGCAAAACGGGGAGGAAGGUGGGGAUGACGUCAAGUCAGCAUGGCCUUUAUGCCUUGGGCCACACACACGCUACAAUGGAUGGUACAAAGGGGAGCAAUGGAGCGAUCCGGAGCCAAUCCUAAAAGCCAUCCUCAGUUCAGAUUGCAGGCUGAAACUCGCCUGCAUGAAGGCGGAGUUGCUAGU